rnacentral:rRNA from 1 species
GCAGUAGCCGCGGUAAUACGUAGGGUGCAAGCGUUAAUCGGAAUUACUGGGCGUAAAGUGUGCGCAGGCGGUUAUAUAAGACAGAUGUGAAAUCCCCGGGCUCAACCUGGGAACUGCAUUUGUGACUGUAUAGCUAGAGUACGGCAGAGGGGGAUGGAAUUCCGCGUGUAGCAGUGAAAUGCGUAGAUAUGCGGAGGAACACCGAUGGCGAAGGCAAUCCCCUGGGCCUGUACUGACGCUCAUGCACGAAAGCGUGGGGAGCAAACAGGAUUAGAUACCCCAGUAGUCCCUGUCUCUUAUAC